rnacentral:tRNA from 1 species
GCCGCGCGUCGCCAGCAACGCACCAGCUCGACAAGCUGGCGGUCGCCGGCUCGAGUCCGGUAUGGCCA